UCUAGGGCAACUUGGGUAGAAGUUCUGCUGUUUGUAACCCAAGAAUCCUACUAAUACAUCUAGUCAUCUACUAAUUCCGUAAAUUAUUGUUGGACAUCUGCUAUGUGCCAAGUACUGUAUUAGAACCUGGGGAUACAAAGAUGAUAGAAACGGUAUCCAUGCCUUACACUCAACCACAUGGAUGAAUCUUAAAGACACCAUGUUGAGAGAAAGAAGCCAGACACGGCCGGGCGCGGUGGCUCAAGCCUGUAAUCCCAGCACUUUGGGAGGCCGAGAUGGGCGGAUCAUGAGGUCAGGAGAUCGGGUGCAGUGGCUCAUGCCUGUAAUCCCAGCACUUUGGGAGGCUGAGGCGGGUGGAUCACCAGAAGUCAGGAGUUUGAGACCAGCCUGGCCAACAUGGUGAAAUGCCAUCUCUAUUAAAAAUACAAAAAAAAAAAAACAAAAAAAAACUGGCCAGGCACGGUGGCACGCACCUGUAAUCCCAGCUACUGAGGAGGCUGAGGCAGGGGAAUCACUUGAACCCGGGAGGCAGAGGUUGUAGUGAGCUGAGAUUGUGCCACUGCACUCCAGCCUGGGCAACAGUGCAAGACUCUGUCUCAAAAAAAAAAAAGAAAAGAAAAGAAAAAGAAAAAACUGUCAAACAAGAAUUCUAUAUGCUGCAAAUUAUGUCUCAAAAAUGAAGGAGAGGCUUGGCACGAUGGCUCCCACCUUUAAUCCCAGCACUUUGGGAGGCCGAGGAGGGUGGAUCACGAGGUCAGGAAUUUGAGACCACCCUGGCCAGCAUGGUGAAACCCUGUCUCUACCAAAAAUACAAAAAUUAGCUGGGCGUGGCAGCACACACCUGUAAUCCCAGCUACUUGGGAGGCUGAGGCAAGAGAAUUGCUUUGAACUCAGGAGGCAGAGGUUACAGUGAGCUGAGAUCACACCACUGCACUCCAGCCUGGGCAACAGAGCAAGACUCCAUUCAACAAAAAAAGAAGAAGGCCAGGAGUGGUGUCUCAUGCCUCUAAUCCCAGCACUGUGGGAGGCCAACGCAAGAGGAUUGCUUGAGCUCAGGAGUUCAAGACCAGCCUGGGCAACACAGAAAGACUUUAUCUCUACUAAAAAUCAAAAUUUGGCCAGGUGUGGUGGUACAUGACUGUAGUCUUAGCUACUUAAGAUUCUGAGGUGGGGGCAUCACUUGAGGCUGAGCCUGGGAGAUCAAGGCUGUAGUGAGCUUGAUCACACCAUUGCACUCCAGCCUGGGUGACAGAGACCCUGCCUCAAAAAAAAAAAAAAAAAAUGGAGAAGUUAAGACAUUCCCAGAUAGACAAAAACUCAGGGAGCUCAUCGCUAGUAGACCUGUCCUACAAAAAAUGCUAAAGAUAGUCCUUCAUGCUGAAGUUAAAGGACACUAGACAGUAACUUUGAAUUCACAUUUUAAAUGAA
rnacentral:lncRNA from 1 species